rnacentral:rRNA from 1 species
GAUGAACGCUGGCGGCGUGCCUAAUACAUGCAAGUAGAACGCUGAAGGAGGAGCUUGCUCUUCUGGAUGAGUUGCGAACGGGUGAGUAACGCGUAGGUAACCUGCCUGGUAGCGGGGGAUAACUAUUGGAAACGAUAGCUAAUACCGCAUGACAACAGUUAUUGCAUGAUAACUGUUUAAAAGGGGCAACUGCUCCACUACCAGAUGGACCUGCGUUGUAUUAGCUAGUUGGUGAGGUAACGGCUCACCAAGGCGACGAUACAUAGCCGACCUGAGAGGGUGAUCGGCCACACUGGGACUGAGACACGGCCCAGACUCCUACGGGAGGCAGCAGUAGGGAAUCUUCGGCAAUGGACGGAAGUCUGACCGAGCAACGCCGCGUGAGUGAAGAAGGUUUUCGGAUCGUAAAGCUCUGUUGUAAGAGAAGAACGGGUGUGAGAGUGGAAAGUUCACACUGUGACGGUAUCUUACCAGAAAGGGACGGCUAACUACGUG